rnacentral:misc_RNA from 1 species
UAGAGACACAUUUGUCACAUAUUAUACAUAUCGUUAAAACUAUUAACCAGUGUCAAGUACUGAGAGCUCAAUUCACAGAAAUAAGAAAUGAGAUGAAGUGUGGAGUGUCUCUUAGCCUACCUGUAAAAACAAGAUGGGGUUCACAUGUAAAAUGUCUUCAAGAUCUGACUAAAUGCAAGUCCGUCCUACAACGUCUAGCAAUAUCUCCAGAUAAAACAAUUCAAGAUAGAAUACGCAGCGCAAAAGCAAAUUUACUUGAUGAAGGAUUCUGGAUAAAUUCUAGCGCUCUUGUUGAAUUGCUUAAGCCAAUUACUGAAGCAAUAACACGUCUUGAAGGAGAUUCUUCGUCAAUUCAUUUGGUUUGUGAAACUUUCGCGAAAAUCGGUAGUAACAUAUCUACUCAUUUAGAAUGCGUGAAACUAACGGAUUGCGAAAAAACAGAAGCGAUGGAUAAAUUUAUAUCAAGGAAGGAAUACGCCCUUCAACCGAUCCAUUUUGCCGCAGACUUACUAAACCCUCGGUCUGUUGGUGCAAAUUUAUCAUCAGCCGAAAGGAUUGAAGCGAUGAAAUACAUUACUACUAUGUCAACCACGACCACGAUAGAGAUUGGUGAUGAAGGAGUGUCAAAGAUUACUGAGGAUUUAGGAAACUAUUUAGCUAAAACAGACUUUUUUGGCGAAACAUUUUUAUGGAACAUACUCGAUAAUGUCUCUUUGGUUACAUGGUGGAAAGGAUUUUGUGGACAUUCAUGCCUCUCCAAAGUUGCAGUCAGGAUAUUGACAAUGCCGUGCACUUCUGCGGCAACAGAGAGAAGCUUUAGCUCCCAGAGCAGCAUUCAUACGAAGAGAAGAAAUCGCCUAACAACUCAAAGGGCAGCAAAUUUAAAUUAUAUACAAUAUAAUUCAAAAUUGCUGAAACGUUCACGACAACAUCACAUACAAAGUCAAUAUCCUAUAGAAGAGACUGUACAGAACAACGUUUCGAUAGAAGGUAGAAACUUACAGAAGGAGAUAGAAGUAAUUGAAAACCAUAUUUCCGAAGAGGAAGAAUUAGACGAGGUAAUUUUAAAUUUAGGCAUUUUUUAGAUAUGUGAUAUGUGCAUGUGAUAUAUGCAGUUUGCUUCUUUUCCGAUUUUCCAAUGCAUUCCACCGUUUUCGAAUAAAAAAUUAUAAAUCUUAUGUUUUCAGACAAUAUCAUCAUGGCAUUCAAAUACAACAGGAAAUGGAAAUUCCGACGAUGAUUUUAAUUUUGCUGACUUUGCAAUGACCGAUGAUGAAAUUGAUCAAAGAAUGGAAACUAGGGAACAGAGACCAGCACGCAUUUUGAGACAAAGCAAAGUGAACAUUUUAGAAAACGUCUUAAUGAAAUCGGGUAAAGGCACAGAACAACCCCAAAAAAAAACGGAAGUCGAGAAGGAUACUUCAGAUGCCGAAAACAAGGAUGCAGUUCUGGAUUUGCCGGAGAUAAAAAAAAUUACACAAGGCUCAUUGGAAGAGCAAACAAUUGAAACUUCGACGUUUUAUAACAAGAAGGUCUCCAGUUGUCUGCGAAAAAGGAAGUUGUGAUUUAUAAAAGCCGCUUAAAACAAAACUA